rnacentral:rRNA from 1 species
UACGUAGGGUGCAAGCGUUGUCCGGAAUUAUUGGGCGUAAAGAGCUCGUAGGCGGUUUGUCGCGUCUGCUGUGAAAACUGGAGGCUCAACCUCCAGCCUGCAGUGGGUACGGGCAGACUAGAGUGCGGUAGGGGAGAUUGGAAUUCCUGGUGUAGCGGUGGAAUGCGCAGAUAUCAGGAGGAACACCGGUGGCGAAGGCGGUUCUCUGGGCCUUACCUGACGCUGAGGAGCGAAAGCAUGGGUAGCGAACAGG